AAUGAUUCUCAUCAUACAACACAUGGUAGCGUGUAGGUAUGCUUGUUCCCUGAAUUCCAGCAUGGCUCUUGAGGAAGAAAUCAAACUCCAUUGGGUGGCAAAUCCUAGUAUCGAUAACAGCCAAUCACAAAACCUGGUAGAAUAUUGCCACUCCUGUCUGUCUGACGACGAUCAACUGGAAAAAGUCGUGUAUGAUGCCUCUUCUGCACCACAAUAUAGGUAACCGGUGGAAG
rnacentral:misc_RNA from 1 species